GACGAACGCUGGCGGCGUGCCUAAUACAUGCAAGUUGAGCGCUGACGGUUGGUACUUGUACCAACUGGAUGAGCAGCGAACGGGUGAGUAACGCGUGGGGAAUCUGCCUUUGAGCGGGGGACAACAUUUGGAAACGAAUGCUAAUACCGCAUAAAAACUUUAAACACAAGUAUUAAGUGUGAAAGAUGCAAUUGCAUCACUCAAAGAUGAUCCCGCGUUGUAUUAGCUAGUUGGUGAGGUAAAGGCUCACCAAGGCGAUGAUACAUAGCCGACCUGAGAGGGUGAUCGCCCACGUUGGUACUGGGACACGGCCCGAACUCCUACGGGAGGCAGCAGUAGGGGAUCUUCGGCAAUGGCAGCAAGUCUGACCGAGCAACGCCGCGUGAGUGCAGAAGGUUUUCGGAUCGUAAAACUCUGUUGGUAGAGAAGAACGUUGGUGAGAGUGGAAAGCUCAUCAAGUGACGGUAACUACCCAGAAAGGUACGGCUAACUACGUG
rnacentral:rRNA from 1 species